CCAAUAGCGUAUAUUAAAGUUGUUGCAGGUAAAAAGCUCGUAGUUGAAUUUCGGGAUUAGUAAGUUGGUCGUGCCUCCGGUAUGUACUGGCUUUACUGGUUCCUCCUUCUUGAAGAACUGUAAUGUAAUUAAUUUGGUGUUGCAGGGAAACAGGACUGUUACUUUGAAAAAUUUAGAGUGUUUAAAGCAGGCUAACGCCGGAAUACAUUAGCAUGGAAUAAUGAAAUAGGACGUUUGAUCCUAUUUUGUUGGUUUCUAGGAUUGACGUAAUGAUUAAUAGGGAUAGUUGGGGGCAUUAGUAUUCAAUUGUCAGAGGUGAAAUUCUUGGAUUUAUUGAAGACUAACUACUGCGAAAGCAUUUGCCAAGGAUGUUUUCAUUAAUCAAGAACGAAAGUUAGGGGAUCGAAGACGAUCAGAUACCGUCGUAGUCUUAACCAUAAACUAUGCCGACUAGGGAUCGGAUGAUGUUAAUUUUUUAAUGACUCAUUCGGCGCCUUACG
rnacentral:rRNA from 1 species